GGAUGGCACUGGACAAAGCAAAAUUGUCUCCCAACUCAUCCUUGAACUGUCUGAAACUAGGUAUCCAACACAGAACUAACUGUGGGGUAUGAGAAAGCUGAGAUGAAGAUUCACAGAAGCCAAGUAAAAUCAGGAUUUUAUAUUGGAAAUUGAAAAUUAGAAUGACAAGGGAAUGAUGGGAAUGAUGAAUGUAUCAGAAUAUCAGCCCACAAGGUUAGUCAAUGACAUUUAACAAAGAGAAACUCACCUCAGAAUAUUCAACAGUACAGAUGUGACAGAGGACACACAAUUUCCAAUCCAUUUUCUACCUGAGACAGUCUUCCAAUUUCAAGGCAAUGGCUGUAAAGAUUUCUUGGUGACAUCACAAAUGAAGACCCACCACAUGUUCUUUACAGGAGACCACAUAGUGGUUGAAGGAAGAUCUCUCUGUCUUUUCUGUCACAGCAGCUCCAUUGUAUUUUAAGUACACAGUGGUCAAUAAGAGAGAAAACAGUUCUUAACCCUUCUUAACCUUAUUCUUUUAGACAUAGGGAAAUGCAUUGAUAAGUCUGUUGGUGAGUUAAGUACUGAACUUGCUCACAUUGUGUCCAUCUGCUGGCUAAAAAAUGAGAGCAUGUGUGUUUGGCUUUGUGGAUCUAAUUUUACACGCCCUUUGGUUUUAUUCCAAGUAUUUCAUGUGCAAUAUUUCUUACCAGGAAAAAUGAAAUAUUGAAUGCUGGACAAAAAAAUUUUUUAAAGAAAAAAAAUAAU
rnacentral:lncRNA from 1 species